rnacentral:rRNA from 2 species
AUUGCCUCAGUAACGGCGAGUGAAGCGGCAACAGCUCAAAUUUGAAAUCUGGCGGCCUCUGGGCCGUCCGAGUUGUAAUUUGAAGAGGAUGCUUUUGGCGAGGUGCCUUCCGAGUGCCCUGGAACGGGACGCCACAGAGGGUGAGAGCCCCGUAUGGUUGGACGCCGAGCCUCUGUAAAGCUCCUUCGACGAGUCGAGUAGUUUGGGAAUGCUGCUCAAAAUGGGAGGUAAACCCCUUCUAAAGCUAAAUACUGGCCAGAGACCGAUAGCGCACAAGUAGAGUGAUCGAAAGAUGAAAAGCACUUUGAAAAGAGAGUUAAACAGCACGUGAAAUUGUUGAAAGGGAAGCGCUUGCGACCAGACUUGUGCUCGUCGAAUCAGCCGCCGCUCGUCGGCGGCGCACUUCGGCGGGCUCAGGCCAGCAUCAGUUCGCUGCAGGGGGAGAAAGGCGAUGGGAAUGUGGCUCUUCGGAGUGUUAUAGCCCGCCGCGCAAUACCCCUCGGCGGACUGAGGACCGCGCAUCUGCAAGGAUGCU